rnacentral:rRNA from 1 species
AUUGAACGCUGGCGGCAUGCUUUACACAUGCAAGUCGAACGGCAGCGCGGGCUUCGGCCUGGCGGCGAGUGGCGAACGGGUGAGUAAUGCAUCGGAACGUGCCCAGUAGUGGGGGAUAGCCCGGCGAAAGCGGGAUUAAUACCGCAUACGACCUGAGGGUGAAAGCGGGGGACCGAAAGGCCUCGCGCUAUUGGAGCGGCCGAUGUCGGAUUAGCUAGUUGGUGGGGUAAGGGCUUACCAAGGCGACGAUCCGUAGCUGGUCUGAGAGGACGACCAGCCACACUGGGACUGAGACACGGCCCAGACUCCUACGGGAGGCAGCAGUGGGGAAUUUUGGACAAUGGGGGCAACCCUGAUCCAGCCAUGCCGCGUGCGGGAAGAAGGCCUUCGGGUUGUAAACCGCUUUUGUUCGGGAAGAAAUCCUCUGGGCUAAUACCCCGGGGGGAUGACGGUACCGGAAGAAUAAGCACCGGCUAACUACGUG